AUAUUUCUUAUCAUUAUUCCUCUCCUAGCUAGUGUUGCCUUGCGGAUUGAGAAACUCCAACGAGAUUUUUUGUGGAGUGGACUUUUUUUUUUUUUUUUUAACAAGUAAAACACCUUUUAUUAACAAAAGAAUGGGCAAAAUGCCAAUUACAAAAACUCCUAUGCCCUAGUUAAGUAGGCGCAUUAGAAGCAAGGAAAUCAUGUAGGAAAUGCCUCUGGUUCCUUGCUAAAUCUCCACAACCAUUUGCCAAGUAAUACCCGAUUAAACAUCCUCAAAUUUCUUACACCCAAGUCACCAUUAAAGAUAGGACGAUACACCGUCUCCCACUUAACUAGAUAGAACUUGAACUCCUCCCCCAUUCCUCCCCACAAGAAAUCUCUUUGUAACUUCUCGAUACGAGCCGCCACUCCUGCUGGUAUAGGGAAAAGAGACAAAAAAUAGGUUGGUAGAUUAGAGAGAGUAUUCUUUGAUC